rnacentral:tRNA from 1 species
GGGGUGUAGCUCAGCUGGGAGAGCAUCUGCCUUGCAAGCAGAGGGUCAGGAGUUCGAUUCUCCUCAUCUCC